CUGAAAGCUGUCCAGCGUUAAAAAACAACAGAAAAAAGAGAGUUAAGCACUAGUUUAUUUUUAUGUAAGGAUAUCCAAAAUAUUCAAGUCUGACGUCAUUUCCAUUGAAAAGGACACCGCGUGAGAUAUUCUUUCGUCAUUUGAACAUCGAACCAGCUACUGGGGUAACGUACGUAGCGAUUUUGACGCAGAACUGAUCACGUGAUUAUUUCCGACGAAGAGAAAGUUCAAAGACGCUACCAGUUUUCAUCAUGGAUCAAGUGGCAAUCAACUUGCGUCGUUCACGUCACAAGCAUGGCGGACAAGGGAAAGGUUACGAUACAGAACCUCUAACUUGAUUACUGAAACCAGAUGCUGUUCUAUGCAUAGACAUAAUCACAUUGCUGAUAUACUGUCGGAGUUGGACCAGUACUAGCAGAAUAAAAAUAGGAACGGAAAUAGAAAAAGAAAAGUCCAUGCAUUUUGUUAAGAUGAUGAAACAAAGUUAGAUUUUUUUUUUCAUGAUAGUUGUAUUGAAUUCCUUAGUCAAAAAAAGAAGUAAGAAGUAUCAAUGUGCCAGAAGUUGAAGUUUGUGAAAUACAAGUGAAGAUUGAUAUAGCAAAAACAGUCUGUACCUGGAAACUGCAUACCAACAGCUCUUAUACUUUGAAUGACUGCAAGUUAGCCCAUUUAACAAGGUUUUCCCUCACUGUAAGGGAUUAAAUAAUGGUAAUAAAAUAGACAUGAAGUAGGGUUUUAUGACAAAGACUCAAAUAUUCAGCACCAUUGCACCAUUGCACCUGUUGUCUGUGUAACCAAGGACAGUCUAUAAGGAUUUGGAUAAACCAAAUGAGGGCUCUGGCAAUAGCUGGGUACUAGUAAUUACUGGUGUGUAAAUAAAUUAGCUGGGAAUAAAUACAUACUGCAAGAC